AUGAUUCAGUUUGUAUUCAACAGGCCUGAAGUUACCAACACAUUUCUACAGAGUGCUAAUAUGACCUGUAGCUUUGUCCCUUCAAUCCAGAAUGUAAUCUCUCUUAAUAUGUUCCCCCAAAUCACUUUUAUUAGCCAUUUUUCAAUAAUUGCAUACGUUGUAACAUUUUUUUUUGAAUCCACAGUUUCAGUUUCACCAGUCAAGUGUUCUCCUCGACGACAUGGAUCCACUGUUUGUAGGCCACGUCGUCCUGGCAUGAUCAACCAUCCCUCAACUGCUUUGAUUUCUUCCGACCCCGACCUUCUGAUUCCCAUCCGACCUACUUAUCCGUGCUAUGAUGAUGGAGAGGAGAUCCUCAUGAAAACACUUAAAAAGCAAGAUUCCCAAGAGAAAUUCUUAGACUGCGACUGCACGGCUUCUGCUCGUUUCGCACAAAAGCACCCGUGCUCCUCAGCCGAGCCCUCCCCUCGAAGGUUUUAUCAGGAUGAAGCAGAGCUGCUCGCAGACAUCUCAACUGGGAAACCUUUGAGGGAAGAGGCAGAAUCAGCUGUUGAACCUCCAAUGCACAAACAUUUCGCAGAGGAACUUGGAGCUACCACAGAUCUGGAAGGCUCCAGCUGGAAAAUGGCAAAAGCCAAGGGCUUGGAGUCUUCUUUGGGAACUUCUUCUACAGAUGAGCCUGCUGUAACCCCAUCAAGAAUGAUCUUCAGAGACAGGAGUGACGCUUCCAGAGAAGCAGAGUUUUUAUUAAGAAAAGGAGACAAAGAUACAACAAGGGAUUUGAUGGAUGUCCCCUCACAGCAUGUCUACAGAGAGCGGUGUAAUUUACCACUUGAGGCGAGAAGGAUGUUGGUCGAAGCUCCAACAAAUGCUCCAAGAAUGUUAUCAAGAGAUAUGAUGGGGAUUUCGGUAGAUAGCAUCCCUAAAAAGAUGCAGAGAGAUCAAUCUGAGCCUUUGUUUGAAUCCAGGAGAAUCACAAGAGACUUGAUGGGUAUGUCCCAUGAUACAGGUUCAUGGAAGCUUGCUCAAAAUAAAGGAGAAUUUCUUUCUGAGUCUUCUUUGAGGUUAUUAUCAAAAGACAAAAUGGCUGAAACUAUGGGUACACCACCAAGGAACAUGUCCAGAGAUGAGCUGGAGUAUGAUGAUACCGCAUCCAUAAAGAUUCCUUCCAGAGAUGUAUUAGAAUCACCUGUAGAUGAGCAAGAAUCGGCCUCAGAGCCAAUAACUUAUAGAGGAAUACUAAGAAAUGAGCAGGAUGGCUCUGAUGAGUCCCUCAGAAGGAGAACACCAAGAGUGCCAGUAGAUGAGACCAACAUUACAGCAGAGGUUGCCACUGGAAAUGUUGCCAGGGACAAUGUUGAUGUUGCCGGAGCAACGCCCAAGCAUUUACUUUGGAGGGAAGAGCAAUUGACAUUUGAGUCAAGUUCUUUGCCGUGUGGAACCGGCCACCCAGACCUUAUGCCGACCUCUCAGGUGCCAUGGAGAUCCUCCUCCGACCUGUACGCUGCGGGCCCGUUGAGUCAGCUUGUGUACGACGGGAUCCUUGAAAAGUCGUGCAGCUCAGCAGCUUCUACCCCAAUGAUCACCUCUGCCUCAACUCCCAACCUGCACGCCAAGGUGGAGUCACCAGCCCCGCUGCAAAAGCCUACCUUCACGUCCGGGGAAUCGUCACUCAAAGAAGACAAACACAAAGAGAAGGAGAAAAGCAAGAAAUCCCUGAAGCUUAAAAAUCUCUUCAAAAAGAAAAGCGACUCGCCUCCUGAGAAGUUAGAAAACGGGCUUCAGAAACUCUGAUGGUCCACCUUUAAAGAUGGUCUUUCUUAAGCUGCAUUCACAACAAACGCAAUUUACGUGGCAGGGUAGCCAGUUUCAAUGUUAAGUUGCUAUCAGAGUUCCUGCGGUGUGAUUUGAGCUAUGAGACGGCGUGUUUUUUUUUGGGGGGGGGGGGGGGGGCGCAACAAUGCAGCACAGGGAAAAUUGUGACGCAUGAUGAAAGUUUAGCCGAGCAAGUUUAAACAUCUGAAGUUUGACAAUGAAUUUGCAUCUCUUCAACCAAUAAGGUUGAUGAGAUCUGAUGGUUCUCCUCCCAGAAUCUGAUUGUUCUCCUCCCAGACUUAUUUUAUCUAUUUUUCUUAUUUAAAUUGAAAAAAUAAUAAAAAGGUCCCCUAACUGUUUUCUAUUGUGGGACAAGAAGUUGUCAAAGAUCCUCAAACCAAAAAUGUUUGCAAAUCAUAAAAACCAGCUAUAAAACCUUAGGUCUUUGGAACGGCCUCCCUUUGUCAGGACGACUGACUGUUGUUGAGUAUUUAAACAAGUCAAGAUGCUUAUAUUCAGAAGAGUUUUUAGUUAAUCUAAUUUAGCCUUUGAUUAACUUUGUUUUUGUUGUCUUUACCUAGUUUAGUUGGUGGCGUGUGUCUGAUGACUGGUUGUAAUUUUCUGUGUUUGUACUAUUAUAGGCACUUUGUGAUUUUUCUCCAAAAAAGGUGCCAUAGAAAUAAAUAUUUACUCCCUUAAUGCGGAUCAGCAAGUCGUCAAACUGGGUCACAGAGACAGAAGUACCUCUGAGAGCGACCAUCAUUCAAACGCAGCUCCUGCAGUAAAUGGUGACUCUCAUCACAGCGGGAGAGUCACGGCGCCAUCUUUACCUGUUGUAGCUCUCUUACACAUCAUUCAUGUCUUCCAAGCAUUGUUAAUGAGAUACACAUAGACACUGCUCCAUGUGUCCAUGUAUCCAUGUGAGGCUAAAAAACAUUUGGCGGUAGCUCCUCCCACACACAGUGGGAGCAUUAGGUCUAUGAUCGCACUUGUGAAAAAGAGUCCAGCCAAGAAUUCAUUGUGCAUCUAAACAGAGGCAGAGGAGAAUUUGCGAAUGCAUCGUGAAUGCAGCGUUAGGUUUUAUUGAAUUGAGCAAAAAAUUUGUGCAAACGUGAGAAAACAAUCAAUCACAAUGACUAUAUCAGGAAAUCCUGGGAAAUUCUGUGGUUGACUCAAAUCAACGGAGUGACUCUUUUGUAGGUGAGCACAUUCAAAUGCAGCUUCAGUUCCACAGAGAUGCUGUAGAACUCAAUCAGUACUCAAAACAACAUUGUGUCCACCUGAAGGCCAACCGCUGAAGUUAAGUGGUGUAUUCUUUCUUCUGGCGCUGCAUAUUUGUGAUAGAUGCUUUCACACCAGAAAGCAGGAGGAUUGAAAUCUCUGCUAGGACAUUUUACUGCUGAGUUUGUAUGUUUUCCUUAAGCUUGUAUAGAUUUUUUUGGAACUAUCUCAUCGUUGUUUGACAUUGCAAAAACAGCAAUGUUCAUAUAAUUGAAAAUUCAAAAUUGUCUGAAGAAGUGAUCUUGUUUUUUUUUUUUUUUUUUUUAUAAAAGAUAAGAAGCCGCCCAUUUCUGUUGAAAGGGAGGAUAAAAGUCUUAUAGUUCAUUGUUUGUGGUUAUGCAAUGGAAAAAUGAAGGAUAAAACACUUAUCUUGUUUUGUAUAAUGAAGUCUUAUAGAUACAUGGUUAAAAAUCAUGAUUUUUGUUUUUGUUUUUUAUGCUUUGCCUGAAGCUGAAGUGUAACCUGAAGUUUUAAGUUUCUGUAUUACAGAGUAAAAGCUGUACAUAAUAAAAAAAUUAGAAAUUUAAAUCUCUUGCACAUAAUGGCUACGUACGUUUUUAAAUAAAAUUAAGAACACCGAAAAAUCUAAGAAAUAUUUUUUUUGUCAGAUGAUUGAGUUUGUUGAAACUUUGGCUGUACAGGGGUGGAAUGGUGGGUUCAGUGAUGUUUAAUUUUUUUUUUAUUUAGCCUUUAUUUAACCAGAUAAAACCCACUGAGAUCACGUGUGUUUACGUUUACAGUAUUACAUUUUGCAAUAAAAUUGGAAUUUUACAGUAAGAAAUUCAAAGUUAAAAUACAGUAAAGUGACCUAGUGUUACAAAUUUUAAUUAAUACGGGGAAACAUUUGUAAGUGGUGUGAGAAUCUUAAAGUGCAAAAGAUAGAAGCUGCUGGUCUUUCUUUCUUUGAUACACAGAAAGCAACGAAAAAAAUCAAAUAGACCCAAGUUUGGAAAAAUGUAUUUCACAUUGGAGAUUAUUCCAAGCAGAUGCAGCAGAAAAACUGAAGGCUUGUUUCCCAAAUUCAGUUAGAUUACGAGGUCCAUGACGAGGAAUAAUGUCAUUAGAGAGCAAGGAAUAGUGACAGGUGGUUCUUUGAAGAAGAGAACAGAGGUACAAAGGAACCAAACGCAGCAGCUUAUAGAUUUAUGUCAUCCAAUGCAUGUACCUUCGUGUGCUCAGAGAGGGCCACUCAGUUCUGGCAUACAGUAAUGAGUGAGGCGACUACAACCGGCCACAAACCGUGGCAGACAGUAUUCAGGUUCACUGAAGCAGCAGUGCCUCCCCUUUUGUGUGGAUGUAAAGAUGAGUAGAAGCACUUUGAGUACCACUGUGGACCAUUUACCAUGUUUAUCAUAGAGGUCAGUGAUUUGCAUUAACCGUGCUAUAUUUUACAUAUAAGUUAACCAGGUUUGCUGGUGUCCACGUGAAGUGGCUUUGUGUUAGACAGAAGGUAUCAGCAGACGUUUUAUAUGAGUUCCCCUUUUUGCAUAUCCAAAUACACAUUGAAAGCAUUCAUUCAUUGUGAAUUCAAAUACUGGCGUAACAGGCUUGUUGUAACAAAAUCUUGCACACCUGUCAACACAUGCCUCAAUAUGUGACCCAUAGCAAAACUUUUAGGAUUGGCUUGACCCUUUAUCCAUGAACUUCAUCUUCACCCGUUUACCUCAUCCAUGUGUCUGUUCAAGUCUCCACACAGAGAUACCCUGGAUCCUCUCAUCCAUCUCCAUCCAGAGUUUCUCUUUGUCCUCAAGUGUGAGGUCAUAACCUCUGAUAACAUUCAGCAUCACUCCUUCAACUUCCAGCAACUCCCCAUCUGACACCCUUUUCACAUCCAGAACAUUUUUUAACAAGUCCCUACAUUCAGAGUUCCUACUCCAAGUCCUGCCUUUCUUUCUUUUUCUCUGCCUAUGACUAUGCCUUCCUUAUCUCCUUCUUCCAGUAUUAGUUGUCCAAUUUCCACCAGCACCCUCUAGUAUGAAGGUUCUGAUUGUGAUUGGCAUGACUGAUGUGGCUGUAGUUUCACCUCGUACCCUCUGCAUUUAGCUAGACUGGCACACACAAGCACUACUUUGUGCCCCCUUGUGGUUGCAGUGUUGAACAUUUACUCAAAAGGCAUCACAUUUUAAUCAAAUCACUCCACUUCUGCCAAUAAUGUCGAUUUAAAGAAUGUAAUAAAUAAUGAAAAGGGGUUAAUUUUUAAAACACCUGCAAGACCCAUGUAUCUAAUAAACCUUCCUUGAUUUUUUUUGUUACAAUUCCUUAAAUUGAUGUUCUUUUUUUCAUUUUAUUAAUUUCCUUUAUCCAUGCGGGGCCUUAACUCCACACAAGGACACACAAGGAUGUGUCCUCAUGCUGCCGCUGCAAAAAUAAAUAAAAAAUAAAUAAACUGGAA
ensembl:lncRNA